AUCAUGUCAACAUAUUGUUAGACUACUUGCUAUGUGUUAUAGACUUAUAACCUCAAAAUAAUAUGAGACAAGGCACAAGAGCAUCAGUAUCAGAUGAUAUGAUUAUCGUUUCAGCAAGUUGCUAAUUACUAAUUGUCACAUAUUAUUCUGAGAUCAUAUAACAUCAGCAUCAGUCAGACAUUGACGCUGACUCAUAUUUGGCUUUCUCCAUGCCUUCACUAGAAUUAGCCAAGCAGGUUAAUUUGGAGUAGCCUAUCCGAAUACAUAAACAAAUAAAAAUAUAUAAUCAGACAAAUAUGGCCUAUAAGCAUGCGAACUAUUGAACAGGUUCAUUUGUUGAUAUCCGGGGGAAAUCCAGUCUAAUGGUUCUCAAGCGUUUCAGAUCAUCCGCCUGCAUGUGCGGCACAUUAUAUCAACAGCGCCAGUCAAGCCUGUCGGGCUCCGCAGCUCAUGUUAACAGGCAAUUAAUCAGCCGGUUGAUUACAGCGUGCUGCGAGCACUGAAGUUGACUGAGGGCGAUAUGUGCGAUACCAUUCAUCAACGUGUCACAGGAGCUACAAAGGCUCGAGCUGGAAUGGAGCGAGAUGUUUUUGAUUAAACGCUUCCAAGGAGAUGAACCAAACAAACGUUGCCAUGAACGAGUGUGUUUGGUUACAAACACACAGAGGGCAGGGGAAGGCUGCCGGAGCCAGGUGCCGGGCCGGGCUGUUGUGUUUGUAUAUGGUGCGGUUGCCAU